ACAGAAUAUCAGCUCUGCGCUCGAGAUGAGUAUGGAGACGUAACCACCUAAAAGACAGAUUCCCACCUGGGAGCUGCAGAGAACAACCACAGGCUUGUACUGACGGUCACUGAGCUGUUCCACUGGAGCAGUUAGAGCGGUGUCUGUUACGGGAAUGUUCCUGAUGGUUCAUCCGGGCAUGACGGCACAUUUUACGUGUUCAACACCAAGCAUCGUCGUCUACUGCUGUAAUCAUCAAAA